UGGGGGAUAUUGCACAAUGGGCGAAAGCCUGAUGCAGCGACGCCGCGUGGGGGAGGAAGGCUUUCGGGUUGUAAACCUCUUUCGCUAUCGAACAAGGCUCGCUUAGGGUGGGUUGAGGGUAGGUGGAGAAGAAGCGCCGGCUAACUACGUGCCAGCAGCCGCGGUAAUACGUAGGGCGCGAGCGUUGUCCGGAAUUAUUGGGCGUAAAGGGCUUGUAGGCGGCUUGUUGCGCCGGCUGUGAAAACGCGGGGCUUAACUUCGCGCGUGCAGUGGGUACGGGCAGGCUUGAGUGUGGUAGGGGUGACUGGAAUUCCAGGUGUAGCGGUGGAAUGCGCAGAUAUCUGGAGGACCACCGAUGGCGAAGGCAGGUCACUGGGCCAUUACUGACGCUGAGGAGCGAAAGCAUGGGUAGCGAACAGG
rnacentral:rRNA from 1 species